rnacentral:lncRNA from 1 species
GCCAGACUCACACCCAAUAACCCCCGACCUGACCCGUUCAAACAAUACACACACGGAUACAUACACGAAGCCCUAAUCUCACCAAUGACCAGAUGACUGUUCUUCUCUAAAGAAGAACAUGAACCAAGCCUCAGUUUAUCCCAAAUCCAAGCGAGUCUCAAAUCCCUCCGCAUGCGUUCAUCCUUCUCUCCUCAUCACCAUCUCCAACCGUUUAUGACGCGAAUAUUCUCAUUCCCUUCACUCGCUCAAUUUAGUGAUAAGGCACGCGAUUGGAAGCUUUUGAGAAGGAUUUGAUGGAUGAGUGUGAGGCGUUGGAUUGAUUUCAUUCAAUCCAAACCCCACAUUCAUCAGGAAUUCAUUCUCAAAAGAGAUUUUGGAUGGAUUUCGGAGGGGUCAGGUUUUAGAGGAUUAUUUUUUGGAGAGAGGUAUGUAGUUUUUUUUGGUUUUCGAAAAUCUGGGUUGGAGAGAUAGCCUUCUUCUUCCUAUCAUUUGCCUUCAUUCUUAGUUGAACUUCAGAAAAAGAAAAAAAUACAGAAAAUUUUCAAUGUUCAGUGAUUUUAGGGUUGUUUGGUUUAUUAUUUACAAGCAUCAAAACAUAAGAAUUCCGUCUUUUCUUUCAGUCUGGAUUUUGUAAAAAAUGGAGUUCGAUUGAGAGAUAGUGAACUCGUUAUUGCUCGAGGCGUCGAUUCGUAACUAUUGUUUCUCUGUGUUGAUUUCAGUAUUGAGACUAGUUUGAUUUUCAUCCCAGGUUCAAUUCUGCUCUUCCUUAUUUUGUUGUGAAGGUAGACAUGGAUGGACUGUAAAACGAUUUCAGUUAAAACAAUAGAUGAGGCUUGUGUGGUUAUCUGCGAUUUCAUUUAAUGUUCUGCUCUACUUUAUGUUUGUCAAAUGAAUCUGAAUCAGUAGUGUAUAUACUCAUGGUUUCCACUUGGUUAUCUGAUUCUCUAAUACGAAUGAUUUCUAGAAAUCGUUCUGUUUUCAUCUUUUGAACAAGCAUAGCAGCUUGUGCUUGGAUUUUGCUAUUACUAGAGCGUGAACACGACCCUGGGAAGGUUGGAAUGGCUGCUAUAUCGACAUUGCGCUUAGUGUUUCACCUUUGUUCCGAUAUGUUUGUUGGGAGUUGAAUUAGGGUCUUUGUCUAGGAGAUUUGAGACCAUUCAUUUUCUAUCAAUUUAUCACCAAAUCUGUGUUGAAAGUGAGACAUGUGUAGCUUUUCUUGAUAGCUCACGAUUGGAAUUAAACUAUCGUAUGGUUUCCAAAUGAAUGACGAGGCGAUAAUAUGCUCAUUUAUGCUUUCCAUGACUAUGCUCAUUUGUGCUUCUCAUGACUAUGCUAUUUUGGUUCGAUCAAGCUCGAGUUUGCCAUUGUUCUGUUGUUAGUCUUCCCCUGCUCGAUAAGCUUGUUUUCUAGAUAGAAUUGACAUUUUCUUUAAUUCAUUGUAAGAUCUUAACAAGCAACAUGUGAUUCAUCUACUUGCCAGCAUGUGUAUUAGUUAAUGGGGAGCAAAGAAUUGUUUGGAAAUACUAGAGCUAGCAAUGAGAACCUUCCGU